GCGCGGGUGUUGAAAUUAGCAGACAAGCAUCCUUGAGGUGGAUGUGCCCGCAAGGGCGUGCAGGUGCAAGUCCUGUCCCGCGCACUA
rnacentral:tRNA from 1 species